AUCCAGUCCUCUUUGAUUUGGAGAUGAGUGGCUCUUCUUGUAAAAAUGUUUAUAACAGCAGCAUUGGUGUCCAGUCAGAUGAAAUUGAUUUAUCAGAUGUCCUUUCAGGAAAUGGAAAGGUCAGUAGUUGCACAGCUGCUGAGGGUAGUUUCACAUCUCUCACUGGACUUUUGGAAGUUGAACCUCUGCACUUUACUUGUGUGUCAACUAGUGAUGGAACCAGAAUAGAAAGGGAUGAUGCAAUGAGUUCCUUCGGGGUUACUCCUGCAGUAGGUGGACUAUCAUCUGGGACAGUUGGGGAAGCCUCGACAGCCCUGAGUUCAGCAGCCCAGGUAGCUUUGCAGUCUCUCUCUCAUGCAAUGGCUUCAGCCGAGCAACAGCUACAGGUGCUGCAAGAGAAACAGCAGCAGCUUUUGAAGCUUCAGCAACAGAAAGCAAAGCUGGAAGCCAAGUUACAUCAGACAACAGCUGCAGCAGCUGCAGCAGCAUCAGCAGUAGGUCCUGUUCACAACUCUGUGCCUUCCAACCCAGUGGCUGCCCCUGGAUUCUUCAUUCAUCCAUCUGAUGUUAUUCCACCCACUCCAAAAACAACACCUCUUUUUAUGACUCCACCACUCACUCCACCCAAUGAAGCAGUUUCCGUUGUGAUUAAUGCCGAACUUGCACAGCUUUUCCCAGGCUCAGUCAUUGAUCCCCCAGCAGUCAAUCUUGCUGCACAUAACAAAAAUUCCAACAAGUCCAGAAUGAAUCCACUUGGUUCUGGUCUAGCCCUUGCAAUUUCUCAUGCUUCACAUUUUCUUCAACCUCCGCCUCACCAGUCCAUUAUUAUAGAGCGAAUGCAUUCAGGAGCAAGAAGAUUUGUGACCUUGGAUUUUGGGAGGCCUAUAUUGUUGACUGAUGUAUUGAUUCCCACUUGUGGAGACUUGGCCUCUUUGUCAAUUGACAUUUGGACAUUAGGAGAAGAGGUGGAUGGAAGGCGGUUGGUAGUGGCAACUGAUAUAAGCACUCAUUCACUAAUUCUUCAUGACUUAAUACCACCUCCCGUGUGCAGAUUCAUGAAGAUCACUGUUAUUGGACGUUACGGGAGUACAAAUGCCAGAGCCAAAAUCCCAUUAGGAUUUUACUAUGGUCAUACCUACAUCUUGCCUUGGGAAAGUGAACUGAAGUUAAUGCAUGAUCCUCUAAAGGGAGAGGGAGAAUCUGCAAACCAGCCAGAAAUUGACCAGCAUUUAGCAAUGAUGGUUGCUUUGCAGGAGGAUAUACAGUGCAGGUAUAACUUGGCUUGUCAUCGUCUGGAAACCCUUUUGCAAAGUAUUGAUCUUCCUCCUCUAAACAGUGCUAACAAUGCACAGUACUUUUUACGAAAACCAGAUAAGGCAGUUGAGGAAGACAGUAGGGUUUUUUCUGCUUAUCAAGAUUGUAUUCAGCUACAGCUUCAACUAAAUUUGGCUCAUAAUGCAGUGCAGAGGCUCAAAGUGGCGCUAGGUGCAAGCCGGAAGAUGUUGAGUGAAACAUCAAAUCCAGAAGAUUUAAUUCAGACAUCUUCCACAGAGCAGUUACGUACUAUCAUCAGAUAUUUACUGGACACUUUGCUCAGCCUGCUUCAUGCUUCUAAUGGACACUCUGUUCCUGCAGUUUUGCAGAGCACAUUUCAUGCCCAGGCCUGUGAAGAGCUCUUUAAACACUUGUGCAUCAGUGGAACCCCAAAGAUACGGUUACAUACUGGUCUUCUUCUUGUUCAACUGUGUGGUGGUGAAAGGUGGUGGGGUCAAUUUCUUUCUAAUGUCCUUCAGGAAUUGUACAAUUCGGAACAGCUUCUCAUCUUUCCACAGGAUAGGGUCUUCAUGUUACUUUCCUGCAUUGGUCAAAGAUCACUUAGUAAUAGUGGAGUAUUAGAAAGCUUACUUAAUCUCUUGGAUAAUUUAUUGUCACCUCUUCAGCCACAGUUACCCAUGCAUAGGAGGACAGAAGGAGUACUAGAUAUUCCCAUGAUCAGUUGGGUUGUUAUGCUGGUGUCCAGGUUGCUGGAUUAUGUGGCAACUGUUGAAGAUGAAGCAGCAGCUGCAAAGAAACCUUUGAAUGGUAAAGACAGGGAGAGGUUUCUGACAGGUAAUCAGUGGAGUUUUAUUAACAAUAAUCUACACACUCAGAGCUUAAAUAGAUCUUCUAAAGGCAGCAGUAGCCUUGAUAGAUUAUAUUCCAGAAAAAUCAGAAAGCAGCUUGUUCAUCAUAAACAGCAACUUAACCUACUAAAAGCAAAGCAGAAGGCAUUGGUAGAACAGAUGG
rnacentral:lncRNA from 1 species